AAAAGAAAAGAAAGAAAACCCAUCAGGAGAGGUUCCAACGUGUGAGAGAGAGAGAGAGAGAGAGAGAGAGAGAGAGAGAGAGAGAUCAGCCGGUGGAAGAAGGAGAAGAGAAAGGGGAAGUGAGAGCUAGGUUGAAUUGGAAACUUUGUAAGGUAACAAGCCGAUCAAUUGGAGAGAUUCCGAAACUGUAAGUUUGGCAUACCUCGAUCGAUACAAGGUGAGUGUGUCUGAUAUGGUUCUUCCCAAUAAAAUGUUGCUGUGGUGGUGAGUGUAUAUCUUGCUAAUCGUAGUAAGCUUUCGAUAUGGUUAUCUUUAAUGAGAUAUUGCUGUAAUGGUGAGUGUAUAUCAUGCUAUUGUUGUUUAGCUUAUGAUAUGUGAGUGUUUGAUUCAUAUAUGUUGUUCUAUAUUGAAUUGAACUUGAUUGUUGGCUUAGUGCCCGGUGAUUGGCUUUAUGCCAUAUGGCUUUAUGCCUUAAACUAUUGGCUGUGUGCCCGGUGAUUGGCUUAAUGCCAAAAGGCUUUAUGCCUUAAAUUAUUGGCUAUGUGCCCGGUGUUGCUCUUAAUUUUUCGAUAAACUGUUGACAAGUUGAGAUUAUCUUUUAGCUGUUGGAUAUUACUGUUAUGUUGUAAUUGGAGGAUGUGGUGAUUAUAUCUGUUAUGUACAUUUGAGUAUCUCAGAUAUGUUGAGAAUUUAUAUUUUGGUUGUUAUUUAUUCGGUUGUUGCUAUAUUUUGUUGAGCAUUUCUAUAUCUCACACACUCUGGCUUUCCUUUUUGGUCUGCCAGGUAGCAGGUUGCGUAGAGUGGGUCCACUACCGGUCAUCGUGUUGAGAAGUGUUUGGGCUAGCAUUAGAUGAUGUGGAUGAACGAGUUGGUUGUAGGUAGUAAACUAAAAAGUUGAUUUAUGUAAGUUAUAAAUAAGUCGUUGGUGGAUGUAUUAAAGUGUAAAAUUUUUAAAGUAUUGUAAAACUAUAUUGUUGUUUAGUUGUGCGAGAUCGUGGUUGGUUGGUCGAUACGUCGACUCAUUUUUAUGUUAAGGUGAUAAGUCUUCCGCUGGGUGUUAUUCUGACAGGUUGUGAGGUGUGGUUCGGUUUUGGUGUGGAAUGUCACGUGGUCGCGUCGACUCGGGCCCACAUUGGGUGCCGUUUGCGGGGCGGGGCGUGACAGCUUGGUAUCAGAGCUAGUACGAUCUAGUCUCUGUGUUAAGAGUCGAUUGGGGGUUUGGUAGUGGACCAUAUGGUGUUGUGUCUGUCGAGUACGUGUCCGUAUUUAAUACUUAGCACUAUGUUUUUGGUGGUGGUUUGAAUUGUUGAAACAGGUUAUUGAUAUGGCUCAGUUCAUGGAGCAGCAAAUGGUAAUUAUUCCAUGGUAGAUUGUGCUUGCACUAGCAGUGUCUUAUGUGGGCUGUGUUCUGUGUGUUAGAAGUAAAUGGACUGAAUGGUUCAUGGCAUUAUGGAGAGUAUGUGCUAAUGCAUGUCAAGGAGCCCAGGCUUUGCUGGAUAUGGUGAUAGGUAGCAGGUUGCGUAGAGUGGGUCCACUACCGGUCAUCGUGUUGAGAAGUGUUUGGGCUAGCAUUAGAUGAUGUGGAUGAACGAGUUGGUUGUAGGUAGUAAACUAAAAAGUUGAUUUAUGUAAGUUAUAAAUAAGUCGUUGGUGGAUGUAUUAAAGUGUAAAAUUUUUAAAGUAUUGUAAAACUAUAUUGUU